rnacentral:piRNA from 1 species
CGAGAAAACACACCCCUUUGAACAUGCAG